rnacentral:tRNA from 1 species
AACGAGGUAGCCGAGUGGUUAAGGGGAUGGACUGCUAAUCCAUUGUGCUCUGCACGUGUGGGUUUGAACUCCAUCCUCAUUG